CGGGAAGUAGCUCAGCUUGGUAGAGCACAUGGUUUGGGACCAUGGGGUCGCAGGUUCGAAUCUUGUCUUCCCGACCA
rnacentral:tRNA from 2 species